CGUGCCAGCAGCCGCGGUAAUACGAAGGUGGCGAGCGUUGUUCGGAAUCACUGGGCUUAAAGAGCACGUAGGCGGACUGCCAAGCGUCUUGUGAAAUCCCCCGGCUCAACCGGGGAAUUGCUGGGCGAACUGGUAGUCUUGAGGCAAGUAGGGGCAGAUGGAACUCUUGGUGGAACGGUGGAAUGCGUAGAUAUCAAGAGGAACGCCAGAGGCGAAGGCGAUCUGCUGGGCUUGACCUGACGCUGAGGUGCGAAAGCCAGGGGAGCAAACGGGAUUAGAUACCCCGGUAGUCCUGGCCAUAAACGAUGUCCACUAGAUCGGUGAACUUCUGACAGUGUGCCGGUCGAAACAAAAGCGUUAAGUGGACCGCCUGGGGAGUACGGUCGCAAGGCUAAAACUCAAAGGAAUUGACGGGGGCUCACACAAGCGGUGGAGCAUGUUGCUUAAUUCGAUGCAACGCGAAGAACCUUAUCCUGGGCUUGACAUGCUUGGAUGCCCAUCUGGAAACAGAGUAGGCUGCCCUUCGGGGUGAAACUUGCACAGGUGCUGCAUGGCUGUCGUCAGCUCGUGUCGUGAGAUGUUGGGUUAAGUCCCGUAACGAGCGAAACCCUUGUCGUUAGUUGCCAGCGCGUAAUGGCGGGGACUCUAGCGAGACUGCCGGUGUUAAACCGGAGGAAGGUGGGGAUGACGUCAAGUCCUCAUGGCCUUUAUGCCCAGGGCUGCAAACGUGCUACAAUGGCGAGGACAAACCGACGCAAAGCCGCGAGGUCGAGCAAAUCGGAGAAACCUUGCCCCAGUUCGGAUUGGAGUCUGCAACUCGACUCCAUGAAGUCGGAAUCGCUAGUAAUCGCGUAUCAGCGUGACGCGGUGAAUAUGUUCCUGAGCAUUGUACACACCGCCCGUCAAGUCAUGGAAGCUGGGAGCGCCCGAAGUCGGGGUAUUCAACCUGCCUAAGGUGAGCUCGCUGACUGGGACUAA
rnacentral:rRNA from 1 species